UCUCCGUUGGUGAACCAGCGGAGGGAUCAUUACUGGAAUCGCAAGAUCCCACAACCCCUGUGAACCUACCGAAACGUUGCCUCGGCGGGCGCCCGGCCCCCCCCCGGGCGCUGGGCCCGCCGGCGGCCCCCUACUCUUGUCUCUGCAGCGUGGCCUCUCAGGGUCCCAGAAAACAAGUAAAAACUUUCAACAACGGAUCUCUUGGCUCUA
rnacentral:misc_RNA from 1 species